rnacentral:rRNA from 1 species
UACGGGCCGCAAGGCCAGUGGCGCAAGGGUGAGUAAGGCGACGGUAACCAACCCCGUGAUUGGGUAUAGCCGCGGGAAACUGCGGGUAAUCCCCAGCGAUGUUCCGGGAGGGCAUCCUUCCAGGACCAAAGCUCCGGCGUCGUGGGACGGGCCGUCGUGGUAUUAGGUCGUUGGCGGGGUAACGGCCCACCAAGCCUGCGAUGCCUACCGGGCGUGCGAGCGUGGCCCGGCACACUGGGACUGAGACACUGCCCAGACUCCUACGGGAGGCUGCAGUCGAGAAUCUUCGGCAAUGGGCGCAAGCCUGACCGAGCGACGCCGCGUGGAGGAUGAAGGCCUUCGGGUUGUAAACUCCUGUCGAGGGGGAAGAAGGGUCGAAAGACCUUGACUUAUCCCUGGAGGAAGCACGGGCUAAGUUCGUGCCAGCAGCCGCGGUAAGACGAACCGUGCGAACGUUAUUCGGAAUCACUGGGCUUAAAGCGCGUGUAGGCGGGACGGCACGUCGGUCGCUGAAAUCCCCCGGCUCAACCGGGGAACGGGCGCCGAUACGACCGUCCUGGAGGGACGUAGGGGGACCUGGAACUUCCGGUGGAGCGGUGAAAUGCGUUGAGAUCGGAAGGAACGCCCGUGGCGAAAGCGAGGUCCUGGACGUUUACUGACGCUGAGACGCGAAAGCCAGGGGAGCGAACGGGAUUAGAUACCCCGGUAGUCCUGGCCGUAAACGAUGGGCACUGGGGUAGGGGGCUCGCCGAUGGGCUCCCUGCCGCAGGGAAAACCGUG